AAUCCAUGGUGCGGGCAUUUUUCAAUCAUCAUUUUGAAACAUUCCCAGGCCUCAUAGAAACUUUCUCCCUCUAUCUAUCUAAAGACAACAAUCUCUCGUCUCAGUUG
rfam:Gossypium raimondii chromosome 6, whole genome shotgun sequence.